rnacentral:lncRNA from 1 species
UUUAGAAGUGGAAAAGAACUUGUUAAUCACAGGUUUGAAAAAAUUCUGGUAUACAUGAAACUCAUGUAGUCCAUGACAAAACAUGAAGCGAGAAACAGAGAAAAUGCAUAUGUUCUGAUUGCCUGGAGAUUUAAAAAAUCACCAGGCAGUUUCAAAGUGUGAAUUCACCAUGUUUACCUGUAGCACCUCAUAGUUUAAAAAAAUUCAUGUGAUGACAUGCCAAUUCUCCUAAAGUCUAAUUCAUGAUUCUGUAAGAAUAGCCAGCGGCAAAUGUACGAGCCAACAGAAUAAAGCCGGAAGGCAGUUGCCAUGGUUCAUGCCCACCACGCAGCCACAGUGUUGACCCGGAGCUCCUACUGGACCGAGCACGGCGCCUCUCCAUGAUAUCUGGGCCACCCCUAUAACCUUCUGCUCCAGGCAGAAAUUAUUUAUCGUUAUAAACAAAAAAUGCAGUUAGAUUCUGACCACAAAAGGUACAUUUUUUAAGUAUGUAAAGUUUGCUCUCAGGUAGAUACACAUAUAUGGGUAACAAGUCCAUUCUAGCAAGAUAGAGAGUUGUAGAACAAUUUGUUUUUAAGGAUUUGAAGCUAGAAACAUGAAGACGUGAGGCAUGUUAGAAAUUUUAGCUAUUAUCAAAUUUAGGUGGAUUAACAUUAGAUUGCACCAAUUAUUAAAUAAUGUGUAAUAGUGCAAAAUAUUCUAAUAAUUCAGAAAUUUUAUGGCAUUGUAAUUACCAUAGUAAGUAUUGUUGCUAAUCUGUGCCAAUAUAUUGAAAUACUCUAUUCAAAACAGUUAACAUUUUCAACCUUCAGUGUACAACCAACAGUAUCAGCCUCAUCGCGAUGCGCUAAAGAAUUGAAGUAGCAUCAAAACACAUGUCGACAAAAGUCAAAGUUGAAUAGCAUCCUGAUAUUGUCAUUUGUCAUGGCCAUAAAUAAUGGAGGAUGACAACCCCACCUAGCGCAGAGCCUACUUUGCAAAAUAAUACAAAUUUUAGCGGAAAGGUAUAACAUAAAGGUAUUUUCCAACAAUCGUCCAAAAAUAUGCAACAUCUCUAGAGAUAUGUCACUGAUGCAACUAACCAACUAAAAUAAGAAAUCUCAAUCAAUUUUGGAUUACGAACUUUUGCUCCAUCAUUCGUGGUUUGUGGGGUUGCAGAUUUGCCUGAUGUGUACUGCGUAACUGAACUUGAUAAAGCUCGCCACAUCAAGAGCGAAAUGAUUUUUUUUGUAGAUGCAGCUACAGUUUGAUUUGGUUUGCUUCUGUGCAUGUUCCGAGGCAUUGUGCCAAUAAAUCAGGUGGUUCUAGAGAAGUAAAAAUCGAUGAAACAACACCAUUGGUCAACUGCAUAAAAUAUGUUCCGAUAUAUGAUUGUAAUAUUCUAACAUCGCUUUAUUUCCUUCCUUUACCUCACAUUGUAAUGCUGAGACAAACUAUAUGACCUCAGCUGAUCUCUGGUCCCCAUGGCAAUUGGGGUAUCUCUAUCCUCCUCUCACCACAAUGCAAAACUCCAAAAGACACAGAAAAAGGGAGGGACCAAAACAUACUCACUCAUUGAAGUCUCUUAGCUAAUUCGAGAAACUAAAAAAGGCCAAAAGGAGGUGUCCAUUAAAACACUAGCAAGUACCACUAUAUCUAGCUCUCUUUCUCCAGGGCUUGCUGAAGAGAUUGGCUUCUAACAAACCUUCCCCGAAACAACAAAAAACUGAGAACAUGAGUAAACAUGUGGACUCUCUUUCGGAAAAGUAGAUACGUCGGCGAUGGUGAUCUGGUGUGAGGAGUGAGCUUUUCUGGUGCCCGGCUUACAAAUAUUAUAGACGUUUUUAUUCCUUCAAGCAUCAGUUCUAUUAGAAUUCCCGUGUACAUAUAGAACAAUUUCUAACUGUUAUUCACCCACAUGUUUACCAGAAUGUAAAAGAGAUAAAAAAGAACUCUUAGAGCUAAAAUGAGCUCGUGUAAUCUAGGCAGUAGGUUUGCUGGGACUCACUAUUUAGUUUGUUUCCUUACAAACUAAUUUCAGCACUUCCAUUUUUAUUGGUGACUGGAGUAUCAGUGAUGUACUCUUAAAAGGUGCGUACUUCAAUCUAGCAUAUCAAACAUCAUCUGCCUCCUAAACAUUUAAAAGCAAGUAAAAUUUGAGUUUGGGUGUAUGGUCUGAUUACCUCAGAUCCCAAUGAAUCAUUGCAUAACCAAGCCCAUGUCUGAUUUGAUAAAUCUUCUAUAGUUUCUUAUCCCUGUUAACUGUGCCUGCCUAGCAACUCUGAAUCUUCAACUACAACAACAAUCAAAGCUUUGUCCUCAAAUUGUUUUCAGUAAUUACUGCAGAAAUAUCAGAUGAUGAGGCUUGUGCAUAACCACUAAAUACACAAUAAGAAGCAGGCCAAAGAAAGCCACCUAGGAGUAUGGCUGGAUGAACACCUAAUUUCACUGGAGCUGGUGCUCAGAAAUUGAUGAACGGAGACACCACAAUGCAGGUCGCAACUCGAAAGAAUUAUCUUAUGGAUUUCACAUGUUAAGCAAGAAUACCAGAGGCA